ACCUACGGGCGGCAGCAGUGGGGGAUUUUGCCCCUUUGUGGCGACCCUGAUGCAGCGACGCCGCGUGAGCGAUGAAGUAUUUCGGUAUGUAAAGCUCUAUCAGCAGGGAAGAAAAUGACGGUACCUGACUAAGAAGCCCCGGCUAACUACGUGCCAGCAGCCGCGGUAAUACGUAGGGGGCAAGCGUUAUCCGGAUUUACUGGGUGUAAAGGGAGCGUAGACGGCAGUGCAAGUCUGAAGUGAAAGGCAAGGGCUCAAACCUAGGAAU
rnacentral:rRNA from 1 species